CUGGCUAGCCACACCACCUGAAAGUGCCCCAUCUUGUCUGAUCCCGGAAGCUAAGCAGAAUUGGUCUGGUUAGUACUUGGAUGGAAGAUGUCACCCCCA
ensembl:rRNA 5S_rRNA 5S ribosomal RNA